GACGAACGCUGGCGGCGUGCCUAAUACAUGCAAGUUGAGCGAUGAAGAUUGGUGCUUGCCCCAAUUUGAAGAGCAGCGAACGGGUGAGUAACGCGUGGGGAAUCUGCCUUUGAGCGGGGGACAACAUUUGGAAACGAAUGCUAAUACCGCAUAACAACUUUAAACAUAAGUUUUAAGUUUGAAAGAUGCAAUUGCAUCACUCAAAGAUGAUCCCGCGUUGUAUUAGCUAGUUGGUGAGGUAAAGGCUCACCAAGGCGAUGAUACAUAGCCGACCUGAGAGGGUGAUCGGCCACAUUGGGACUGAGACACGGCCCAAACUCCUACGGGAGGCAGCAGUAGGGAAUCUUCGGCAAUGGACGAAAGUCUGACCGAGCAACGCCGCGUGAGUGAAGAAGGUUUUCGGAUCGUAAAACUCUGUUGGUAGAGAAGAACGUUGGUGAGAGUGGAAAGCUCAACAAGUGACGGUAACUACCCAGAAAGGGACGGCUAACUACGUG
rnacentral:rRNA from 1 species